rnacentral:rRNA from 1 species
GAUGAACGCUGGCGGCGUGCCUAAUACAUGCAAGUCGAGCGAAUGGAUUAAGAGCUUGCUCUUAUGAAGUUAGCGGCGGACGGGUGAGUAACACGUGGGUAACCUGCCCAUAAGACUGGGAUAACUCCGGGAAACCGGGGCUAAUACCGGAUAACAUUUUGAACCGCAUGGUUCGAAAUUGAAUGGCGGCUUCGGCUGUCACUUAUGGAUGGACCCGCGUCGCAUUAGCUAGUUGGUGAGGUAGCGGCUCACCAAGGCAACGAUGCGUAGCCGACCUGGGAGGCUGCUCGGCGAAACUGGGACUGAGACACGGCCCAGAUUCCUACGGGAGGCAGCAGUAGAGAAUCUUCCGCCAUGGACGAAAGUCUGACGGAGCAACGCCGCGUGAGUGAUGAAGGCUUUCGGGUCGUAAAACUCUGUUGUUAGGGAAGAACAAGUGCUAGUGGAAUAAGCUGGCACCUUGACGGUACCUAACCAGAAAGCCACGGCUAACUACGUGCCAGCCGCCGCGGUAA